GUUAGCCUUGUAUGUGUGUGCUUAUUUAGUGUAUGCUAACAAGUCACGUGAUCACGUGUGGGUCACUAUUUCAUAAAAUAAGGUAACAAAUACUCAUUGUAAGCCAUGUUAAUUUGGUUUAUUCUUGUUUGCAGUUUUACUCUGGCCAAUGGUACAAUAAAUGCCUGUUAAAGAUCAGCACUUGUCAUCAUUGAAGGAGUUAUCUAUCUGCCUAGCCCCGGGGAAACAGCAAGGGCAGAAUAAUGAAUAUAAGAAGCAUG